rnacentral:rRNA from 1 species
AGGACGAACGCUGGCGGCGUGCUUAACACAUGCAAGUCGAGCGGUAAGGCCUUUCGGGGUACACGAGCGGCGAACGGGUGAGUAACACGUGGGUGAUCUGCCCUGCACUUCGGGAUAAGCCUGGGAAACUGGGUCUAAUACCGGAUAUGACCUCCUAUCGCAUGGUGGGUGGUGGAAAGAUUUAUCGGUGCAGGAUGGGCCCGCGGCCUAUCAGCUUGUUGGUGGGGUAAUGGCCUACCAAGGCGACGACGGGUAGCCGACCUGAGAGGGUGACCGGCCACACUGGGACUGAGACACGGCCCAGACUCCUACGGGAGGCAGCAGUGGGGAAUAUUGCACAAUGGGCGAAAGCCUGAUGCAGCGACGCCGCGUGAGGGAUGACGGCCUUCGGGUUGUAAACCUCUUUCAGCGAGGACGAAGCGCAAGUGACGGUACCUGCAGAAGAAGCACCGGCUAACUACGUGCAGCAGCCGC